rnacentral:rRNA from 1 species
GAUGAACGCUGGCGGCGUGCCUAAUACAUGCAAGUCGAGCGAACAGACGAUGAGCUUUCGCCUCUGCCGUUAGCGGCGGACGGGUGAGUAACACGUGGAUAACCUACCUAUAAGACUGGGAUAACUUCGGGAAACCGGAGAUAAUACCGGCUCAUAUAUUGAACCGCAUGGUUCAAUAGUGAAAGACGGUUUUGCUGUCACUUAUAGCUGGAUCCGCGCCGCAUUAGCUAGUUGGUAAGGUAACGGCUUACCAAGGCGACGAUGCGUAGCCGACCUGAGAGGGUGAUCGGCCACACUGGAACUGAGACACGGUCCAGACUCCUACGGGAGGCAGCAGUAGGGAAUCUUCCGCAAUGGGCGAAAGCCUGACGGAGCAACGCCGCGUGAGUGAUGAAGGUCUUCGGAUCGUAAAACUCUGUUAUUAGGGAAGAACAAAUGUGUAAGUAACUAUGCACGUCUUGACGGUACCUAAUCAGAAAGCCACGGCUAACUACGUG